rnacentral:rRNA from 1 species
GAUCCUGACUCAGGAUGAACGCUAGCGGCAGGCCUAACACAUGCAAGUCGAGGGGCAGCAUAGUGGAUAGCAAUAUCUAUGGUGGCGACCGGCGCACGGGUGCGUAACGCGUAUGCAACCUACCUUUAACAGGGGGAUAACACUGAGAAAUUGGUACUAAUACCCCAUAACAUCAUGAAAGGCAUCUUUUAUGGUUGAAAAUUCCGAUGGUUAGAGAUGGGCAUGCGUUGUAUUAG